rnacentral:tRNA from 1 species
UGGGGGAUAGUUUAACGGUAGAACUGCGGACUCUGACUCCGUCGGUCCUGGUUCGAAUCCAGGUCCCCCAGCCA